CUUGCCGAAGAAGGGGAACUUGAAGCGGCAUUUUAAGAUGGUGCACAAACGCUGCAAAAUGGACUUCCCAGCCAAAACAGCUCUACAUGGCGAGAAAGUGUGUGAGCCAAAAAGUUAGCUGCCUCCUCCCAGUGCCAGAGAUCCAACUAAGCUGAUCCUGGCUGUUCUGAGCUACACUGUGCUUCAAACAAGCGUCCUGUGAAGCAGGGCACACACUGCUGGAUGAAGCAAACAUGCACAGCUGUAACACGACGCAGCGCUAUCGGUAUACAUCGGGGGUUAUAGUUUGCUUCCUGCCCUGCAUCAUCAAAGCUGCACGGCUGCUGCCAG